rnacentral:tRNA from 1 species
GGGCGGUUAGCUCAGUUGGUUAGAGUACUUGCUCGACACGCAAGGGGUCACAGGUUCAAAUCCUGUACCGCCCA